CCCCUGUGCCUUGGGCAGCCUGGCCCCUUGCUGAGGCGUGCUUGCGCGUGUCCGUUGUCGCCCUCACCCAGCUGCUGCGGCGGAGAGACGGAGGCCAGCGCGGGGAGCGGAAGCCGGAGCCUGUCGGGAGCGACCCCGGGAAGGCCAGUCCCUCCUGCCGGUGGGAGGCGUGUUGGCGUGCGGCCGGUGGCGGGAUCGAUGGCCACCUGGUAGGCGAUGCUGCUGCGGCGGAGAGACGGAGGCCAGCGCGGGGAGCGGAAGCCGGAGCCUGUCGGGAGCGACCCCGGGAAGGCCAGUCCCUCCUGCCGGUGGGAGGCGUGUUGGCGUGCGGCCGGUGGCGGGAUCGAUGGCCACCUGGUAGGCGAUGCUGCUGCGGCGGAGAGACGGAGGCCAGCGCGGGGAGCGGAAGCCGGAGCCUGUCGGGAGCGACCCCGGGAAGGCCAGUCCCUCCUGCCGGUGGGAGGCGUGUUGGCGUGCGGCCGGUGGCGGGAUCGAUGGCCACCUGGUAGGCGAUGGUAAGCGGCAGUGGCCUGCGCCAAGGUAGCCCCCGGGGGCAGGUGUGUGGCGCCCGGACCCGCACCCUCUGCUCCCGGGGGUGGAGCUGACCUGCUUGCCCGCGGUUGGGCUCGGGAGCCUGCGGGCCGCGGCCAGGAGGGAGCUGGCUGGCCGUCCCGGCGGUGGGGGCUGUGGCGGUGGCCGUCCCGCGGGUGUGCCCGUGCUCGGAUCGAUGAUGACACCCACAAACGCAUUCCUUGGAAAAUCUGAACAAAAUGAGUGAGAACUCACUACC
ensembl:lncRNA